GAAGCUCCAGGGAAAUGCUGAUAAGUAUUGACAACUCAUGAUGGGUCAAAUUAAUUGAGAACGUACUUAUGAAUAUCUGGCAUUUCCUGUGUGGAAAAUUAAAACUAUAAUUUCUUUGUUUCAGUGUUCAAGACCUUUACAUGGAUCCCUGCGAUGUGCACUUUCAACCUCUAAUGAUGCUAUUGGAAAGGACAUGAAAAUUAGCACUUUGGUCAGCUGUCACCCAUGGCCCAUGUCUAAUCCCACUUGUGACCACACAACAGAGGCCUGCUUUGGUAAAGAAAACGACCAACACAUGGAGUGGAGGCCAGACGUGUCACUGGAUUCUAGAGACCAUAUCAGCUCAGGAGCUGCAUUGAAAGACCCACCAUCCAAAGGCAGAAGAAGGACUCCCGGAUUCUCUCGGAUUUAAACCAAGUGUCGCCUGAAUAAAUUGUGCGUCAUUCUCGUCUGCA